GACGAACGCUGGCGGCGUGCUUAACACAUGCAAGUCGAACGGAAAGGCCUGCUUUCCCUUGUGGAUUGCGGGUACUCGAGUGGCGAACGGGUGAGUAACACGUGAGUGAUCUGCCCCCAACUUGGGUAUAAGCCUGGGAAACUGGGUCUAAUUCCCGAUAGGACUGCAGGGUGGUGCCUGUGGUGGAAAACGAUUUUCUAGUGGUGGGGGAUGAGCUCGCGGCCUAUCAGCUUGUUGGUGGGGUAAUGGCCUACCAAGGCGGCGACGGGUAGCCGGCCUGAGAGGGUGGACGGCGACAUUGGGACUGAGAUACGGCCCAGACUCCUACGGGAGGCAGCAGUGGGGAGUAUUGCACAAUGGGCGGAAGCCUGAUGCAGCGACGCCGCGUGGGGGAUGACGGCCUUCGGGUUGUAACCUCCUUUCGACCGCGAGGAAGCCACCUGGUUGGAAGGGUGGUGACGGUAGUGGUAGAAGAAGCACCGGCUAACUACGUG
rnacentral:rRNA from 1 species